rnacentral:rRNA from 1 species
GAGUCUUAAUUGGGCGUUAAGUUGCAGGGUAUAGACCCGAAACCCGGUGAUCUAGCCAUGGGCAGGUUGAAGGUUGGGUAACACUAACUGGAGGACCGAACCGACUAAUGUUGAAAAAUUAGCGGAUGACCUGUGGCUGGGGGUGAAAGGCCAAUCAAACCGGGAGAUAGCUGGUUCUCCCCGAAAGCUAUUUAGGUAGCGCCUCGUGAAUUCAUCUCCGGGGGUAGAGCACUGUUUCGGCUAGGGGGCCAUCCCGGCUUACCAACCCGAUGCAAACUGCGAAUACCGGAGAAUGUUAUCACGGGAGACACACGGCGGGUGCUAACGUCCGUCGUGAAGAGGGAAACAACCCAGACCGCCAGCUAAGGUCCCAAAGUCAUGGUUAAGUGGGAAACGAUGUGGGAAGGCCCAGACAGCCAGGAUGUUGGCUUAGAAGCAGCCAUCAUUUAAAGAAAGCGUAAUAGCUCACUGGUCGAGUCGGCCUGCGCGGAAGAUGUAACGGGGCUAAACCAUGCACCGAAGCUGCGGCAGCGAACGUAUCACCCAAGACAACUUUGCGGAGUUGACGAUUGACGGAGCGAAGCGACGUCAAAGCGUUCAUUAAAGUCGAGUUGGCUUAGGGAUACGUUCGUUGGGUAGGGGAGCGUUCUGUAAGCCUGUGAAGGUGUGCUGUGAGGCAUGCUGGAGGUAUCAGAAGUGCGAAUGCUGACAUAAGUAACGAUAAAGCGGGUGAAAAGCCCGCUCGCCGGAAGACCAA